UUUUGAAAUCGUUAGAUUCGUGCCAAGUGGCAAAAUCUGGUGAAGAGAGAGGAGAAAAAGAUGCUCGACUCAAAAAAUAAGGGAAGAGGGCUCUUCAACUAGUGGCGGCACUGUGCACCCAAGGUAGUGACGACACAUUGCCAAAGGUGGCAGUGCCCCGAUUGGCGCACUGCAGAUUAGCCUACAGGCGCACAAGCCUAUUACCGCGUGCGCAGGGGCUAGCUUGGGCACGCAUAGGGCCUAGCGCGGAAGCCUAUU
rnacentral:lncRNA from 1 species